CACGUAGGGCGCAAGCGUUGUCCGGAAUUAUUGGGCGUAAAGAGCGCGUAGGCGGUCCGAUAAGUCGGCUGUGAAAGUCCAGGGCUCAACCCUGGAAAGCCGGCCGAUACUGUCGGACUAGAGUCCGGAAGAGGCAAGUGGAAUUCCCGGUGUAGCGGUGAAAUGCGCAGAUAUCGGGAGGAACACCAAUGGCGAAGGCAGCUUGCUGGGACGGUACUGACGCUGAGGCGCGAAAGCUAGGGGAGCGAACGGG
rnacentral:rRNA from 1 species